GCUGGGGUGGCGGAAUUGGUAUACGCGCAUGGCUUAGGACCAUGUCCCGCAAGGGUUGAGAGUUCAAGUCUCUCCCCCAGCA
rnacentral:tRNA from 1 species